GAAAGUACAGUUAUUUCGUAAUUUCUAGGUUACGUCUAGAAGAAUCUCUGUGAAGAGAUGCUUUUG
rnacentral:tRNA from 1 species